rnacentral:rRNA from 1 species
GAUGAACGCUGGCGGCGUGCCUAAUACAUGCAAGUCGAACGAAACUUCUUUAUCACCGAGUGCUUGCACUCGCCGAUAAAGAGUUGAGUGGCGAACGGGUGAGUAACACGUGGGCAACCUGCCCAAAAGAGGGGGAUAACACUUGGAAACAGGUGCUAAUACCGCAUAACCAUAGUUACCGCAUGGUAACUAUGUAAAAGGUGGCUAUACUACCGCUUUUGGAUGGGCCCGCGGCGCAUUAGCUAGUUGGUAGGGUAAAGGCUUACCAAGGCAAUGAUGCGUAGCCGAAUUGAGAGGUUGAUCGGCCACAUUGGGACUGAGACACGGCCCAAACUCCUACGGGAGGCAGCAGUAGGGAAUCUUCCACAAUGGGCGAAAGCCUGAUGGAGCAACGCCGCGUGGGUGAAGAAGGUCUUCGGAUCGUAAAACCCUGUUGUUAGAGAAGAAAGUGCGUGAGAGUAACUGUUCACGUUUCGACGGUAUCUAACCGGAAAGCCACGGCUAACUACGUG